rnacentral:rRNA from 1 species
CGGACGGGUGAGUAACGCGUGGGUAACCUGCCUUGUACAGGGGGAUAACAGUCAGAAAUGACUGCUAAUACCGCAUAAGCGCACAGGACCGCAUGGUCCGGUGUGAAAAACUCCGGUGGUAUAAGAUGGACCCGCGUUGGAUUAGCUAGUUGGUGGGGUAACGGCCUACCAAGGCGACGAUCCAUAGCCGGCCUGAGAGGGUGAACGGCCACAUUGGGACUGAGACACGGCCCAG